UAGCGUUUGAAAUGUGUUUCUGUAGCUCAGCAGUCGAGAAUCUGUAGGCAUUUGAUUUCUUGCUUUUAUUUAGUGUGAUCUUUAAGUUGUAGGUUUUUAUCGAGAAAUUAUAAUUAAAAAUGUGUGAUGAUACUGUUUCUGUUGCUUUACGUAUCCAUUAGUGGAAAGUGAAAUUGACAAAGAAUGUUAGAUGUGUUUAAAUGUAAUAUCUGGAGAGCCACAAGUUUGCAUAUGCAAUACUGACAAGGCAUUUACAUACAAUUAUGUUUUUUCUCCCAAUAGGAAGAAAGAUUUUUAUAAUAUAGCGAUUAAACGAUUGUUAGACAAUACGCGCUUCAAGGUUAUAAUGUCACAAUAUUGGCAUAUGGUCAGACGAGAAGUAAGAAGACUUAUUCUACGGGUACCAAUUAUAUGGAAAUAGGAGAACAGGGUAUUAUACCAAGACUCAUAAAUGAUAUAUUUGACAUAAUUAAAUCUAAGGAAGACUGGAGCUUCAAAGUUGCAGUCUUAUUUAUGGAGUUGUAUCAAGAACAGCUGUAUGCCUUUUAUCUGACAAACAAAGAAACCAGUUUAUCGUAGAUAUUAGAGAAGAUGGAAAAAAUAUAAAAAUUGUCGGUGUAACUGAGAAAGAAGUUACAAAUGCCCAAGAUACAUUAGAAUGUUUGACGCAAGGUUCCAUGGGUCGAGCAACUGGUGCAACUGCAAUGAAUGCACAUAGCAGUCGCAGUCAUGCAAUAUUCACAAUUUGUAUACGGCAGCAAAAAACAGAUGAUCCAAAUACAGCAACAGUGGCAAAGUUCCAUUUAGUUGAUUUAGCAGGGUCGGAACGUGGCAAGAAGAUGCUAAAUCAAAAACACUGACAAUAUUCUAUAUUUCAAUUUUAACACACAAGAGUACUGAAACACUUACUCGGCUACAGUUUUUUCUAAGAGUUGUAUGUUGGCCGAAUUUUUCUCCAUUAAUCUCCUGUUUAUUUUUACGCUCAUGGAGUCGAUGCAAACGUUAUCUAUAAUUUAUAAACACAUUUUGUACUCAUAUUACACAUUUUUUGUACUCAUAUUACGAGCUACCGAGUUCCAAUAAAAAGGCAAUUUUA